rnacentral:lncRNA from 1 species
AAAGCGAGGCCGGGGACUGAAGGUGUGGGUGUCGAGCCCUCUGGCAGAGGGUUAACCUGGGUCAAAUGCACGGAUUCUCACCUCGUACAGUUACGCUCUCCCGCGGCACGUCCGCGAGGACUUGAAGUCCUGAGCGCUCAAGUUUGUCCGUAGGUCGAGAGAAGGCCAUGGAGGUGCCGCCACCGGCACCGCGGAGCUUUCUCUGUAGAGCAUUGUGCCUAUUUCCCCGAGUCUUUGCUGCCGAAGCUGUGACUGCCGAUUCGGAAGUCCUUGAGGAGCGUCAGAAGCGGCUUCCCUACGUCCCAGAGCCCUAUUACCCGGAAUCUGGAUGGGACCGCCUCCGGGAGCUGUUUGGCAAAGAGUAAAAGUGCCUAGGUGAACAGCAGAGAAUUUCAAAGGACCUUGCUAAUAUCUGUAAGACGGCAGCUACAGCAGGCAUCAUUGGCUGGGUGUAUGGGGGAAUACCAGCUUUUAUUCAUGCUAAACAACAAUACAUUGAGCAGAGCCAGGCAGAAAUUUAUCAUAACCGGUUUGAUGCUGUGCAAUCUGCACAUCGUGCUGCCACACGAGGCUUCAUUCGUUAUGGCUGGCGCUGGGGUUGGAGAACUGCAGUGUUUGUGACUAUAUUCAACACAGUGAACACUAGUCUGAAUGUAUACCGAAAUAAAGAUGCCUUAAGCCAUUUUGUAAUUGCAGGAGCUGUCACGGGAAGUCUUUUUAGGAUAAACGUAGGCCUGCGUGGCCUGGUGGCUGGUGGCAUAAUUGGAGCCUUGCUGGGCACUCCUGUAGGAGGCCUGCUGAUGGCAUUUCAGAAGUACUCUGGUGAGACUGUUCAGGAAAGAAAACAGAAGGAUCGAAAGGCACUCCAUGAGCUAAAACUGGAAGAGUG